ensembl:ncRNA asRNA:CR45701 antisense RNA:CR45701
GUGGCAUAUCUGAAAAUAUAGAACUCAUUGAAGCCUAAAUUGUGGAACAAACCGAUGAAUAGUUACCCCCUGAGCGAUGAACAGACAGCCCAGCAAAACGAAUUGGAGCGGCAACAUCUCGCAGAUCUCGACUGACACUCACGUCUCGAACUUCCGACGAUCGACAGAACUAUGAGUUGACUGGGUGGAAUGCGCUGCAAUUAAAUGCAACCACGAUCCCAACCCGUUCGACUGGAAAUCACCAAGGUGAGAGCGUCGGGGCCCGGGGUUAUCAGCCUGGGGAUUACACGAUAGGGAAAUCAG